GGCGCUGUGGCUCAAAUGGUAGAGCGCUACACUUGAGCUGUAGAGCUGAGGGACAGUGUCC
rnacentral:tRNA from 1 species